rnacentral:lncRNA from 1 species
GCCGCCGGGGCUUCUCCUCUGAAGGGUGGGCGGAGAGCUUAGCGAGAGCCCGGGCGUUUGCAACUUUUCUUCACUUUCUCUUCCACCGCCCCCCGAAAGAGGGAAAAAAAAAUGUCGACAGGGAUGAAGAAGUUGAGAGCCUAUUGAGUCUGGCUAGCACUGCCUGCAUGCACAUGACUGUGGAGCCAUCCACUGGAGCCUGGGUAACGUAACAAUAGACACACUCCUAAAGAAAAAUGACUCUCCUGCUCAUCAAUUGAACUUGUGGAUUGCCAACAGUUCCUCGGCUGUGGGAAAGCCUCGUGAACUCCUCUCCCCUCCAGGCUGGAAUGUUGACUGACUUGAUCUCAUGCAGGUCUUGUGCUGGUAAGCACAGCUGUUGUGAGCUCAUGAGUGCCAUAGCCAUGCCAUGCCCAUAAAAGCAUUUCACAGCACCCCUCCCUGACCUUCCACUCUUGCGUUAUUUCUGCCCCAUCUUCCUUGACAGUCCUUGAGUUGUGGGUGGAGGGGUUGUAGGACUGAUAUAAACGUCCCGUUUGGGGGUGAGCUCUCAAGAGUCCCUUAUCCUCAGCAUUUUGACCAGUAAUCAGGUUGAGAGCAGCACUAAUGUAUGGUUAUAAAUGUAAAUAUUUUAGAAGGCUGUUUGACAGCAUGUCCAUUUAGCAAAUAAGAGUAGAGGUUCCUCUAUAGCCAUGAGCUUUAGACCAUAGUACCAGGCAUGGAUUGUCUCCUGUAGAGAGAAUUCCUUCCUCAAAUCUAAGCAGGAAACAGUUGGUUAUCUCCACAGUAGCUAUGCUGCUAUUGCACAGGUAGGCACACUUUGCCUGGCAGGCCGGCGUUGUAAUAUGCAGGAUCCACUGCUGGGUAAAUCCACUGAUGGCUCUUCUUCCCUAGUGGGGCUGCAGAGUAUCUUCCAGCACUGUGAAACAUGACCAGCAGGGAAAAGGUUUUCAGGUCAGUCCUUCAUUGAUUUCUUCAUGUCCUGCAACCAACGUGUGUUAUAUCUUCAACAAUAAGGUUUAGCCAUUAGAAAGACCUUUGCAAAGCAGUGCCAUUCGUCUUGGACAGGUAUGACUAAGUUUAUAAAAACCAUCCAUGGGGCUGGAGAAAUGGCUCAGCGGUUAAAAGCACUGACUCCCAAAAGUCCUGAGUUCAAAUCCCAGCAACCACAUGGU